UACGUAGGGGGCAAGCGUUGUCCGGAUUUAUUGGGCGUAAAGAGCGUGUAGGCGGCCAGGUAGGUCUGCUGUGAAAACUCGAGGCUUAACCUCGAGAUGUCGGCGGAAACCAUCUGGCUAGAGUCCGGAAGAGGAGAAUGGAAUUCCCGGUGUAGCGGUGAAAUGCGCAGAUAUCGGGAGGAACACCUAUGGCGAAGGCAGCUCGCUGGGACGUUACUGACGCUGAGACGCGAAAGCGUGGGGAGCAAACAGG
rnacentral:rRNA from 1 species